CUGUUCAUAUCCUCCUCUCUUAUUGUCUCCAUUGAAAAAUCAUCUCUAUAAUUGCAAGGCUACUCAUUCACAAGAUAUAAAUAUGAUAUAUAAUAUAUUUUUAUUUAUUACCCAUAUGUAACUUAGAAAAAAGAGAUUUUUGGCUCUUUGAAGUAGUAGAACAUUUUUUAAAAUAAUGGGAAUUUCCAUACAUGCCAGCAACUUAACUCAGCUUUUUCGUACAUGCCUAUAACUAGGAGAGUUUAGGACAAGAAUGUGGGUAAGUAGGCUACUUAUUUUCAUUUCCAUGAAGAUUGAUUAAAGAGCAUGAGUUGAGUCAUACUUAUAAGUAAUGAUUUUUUAAAUUUUCCUUUUCUUCUAUUUUCCUUGGUAGUAGGUGCUUAACGAUAUUUAUUUACAUUAAAAAAAAUGUAGCUACGAUUCUUGUUUCUCAUUAACCAAGAGAACCAACACAACUUUUCAAAAUUAAGCUGGCCGUUCAAAUACAAGGAAGCUAAACAACAUACUUCCGAAUGACCAAUAGGUCAACUAAGAAAUUAAGAAGAAAACUUUAACAUUUCUUGAAACAAAUGAAAAUGGCAACCCAACAUACAGAAUAUGUGGGAUCCAGCAAAAGCUGUACUAAAAGGGAAGUUUUAUAGCAAUAACUGUCUACAUCCAAAAACAGAAAAACUUAAAUAACCUAAUGAUGAACCUCAAGGAACUAGAAAAACAAGAAAAACCCAAAUAACUAGAAAGAAAUGAUAAAUAUCAAAACAGAAAUAACUGGAAAUGAGAGGAAAAACUACAAAAGAUCAACAAAACAAAAAGUUGAAUUUUUUGAAAAGGUAAAUAGAAAUGACAAAUCUUUAGCUACACUAAGAAAAAAACACAAACAAAAUCAGAGGUGAAAAAGGAAUCAUUACAACUGAUACCACGGAAAUACAAAGAAUCAUUAGUAACUGCUAUGAAAAACUACAUGCCAACAAAUUGGAAAACAUGUAAGAAAUGGAUAACGAUUGGAUACAUAAAACCUGCCAAAACUGAACCAUGAAGAAAUUAAAAAACUCGAAGUGACCAAUGGUAACUAAAGAAAUCAAAGCAGUAAAAAUAAUAAUAAUAAUAUCCUAUCACAGAAAAGCCCAGGACCUGACUGAUUGACUGCUGAAUUCUACUAAACAUUUAAAGAACUAAUACCAAUUUUACUCAAACUAUUUGAAAAAAUUGAAAAGAAGGGAAUAUUUCCAAACAAAUUAUUUGAAGCCAGCAUUACCCCAAUACCAAAACCAAAUAAGGACGCAAAAACAAAAGAAAAAUAGCUAUAGGCCAAUAUCCGUGAUAAACACAGAUGUAAAAAUCCUCAACAAAAUACUUGCAAACUGAAUUCAGCAACACAAUAAACAGAUCAUUCACCAUGAUCAAGUGGAACUAAUCCCAGAGAUGCAAAGAUGUUUCCACAUAUGCAAAUCAAUAAAUAUGACAUAUCACAUCAACAGAAUCAAGGACAAAAAUGUGAUCAUUUUAAUCAGUGAUGAAACAGUGUGCAAUUAAAUUCAACAUCCCUUUGUAAUAAGAACUCUUAACAAAUUGGGUACAGAAGGAAUAUAUCUCAACAUGAUAAAGGCCAUAUAUGACAAACUCACAGCUGUUAUUCUGAAUGGUAAAAUAAUGAAAACUUUUCCACUAAAAUCUUGAACAAAACAAGUAUUCACACUUUCGGCUGGGUGCGGUAGCUCAUGCCUGUAAUCCCAGCACUUUGGGAAGCCAAGGCAGGCAGAUUACCUGAGGUUGGGAGUACAAGACCACCCUGACCAACAUGGAGAAACCCAUCUCUACUAAAAGUACAAAAUUAGCCCAGUGUGGUGGCACAUGCCUGUAAUCACAGCUACUCCGGAGGCUGAGGCAGGAGAACUGCUUGAACCUGGGAAGUGGAGGUUACGGUGAGCCAAGGUGGCACCAUUGCACUCCAGCCUGAGCAACAACAGUGAAACUUCAUCUUGGAAAAAAAAAAAAAAACCAGUAUGCACACUUUCACCACUUCUAUUCAACAUACCACUGGAAGCUCUUUCCAUAGCAAUCACAAAAGAGAAAUAAAUGGAGAUCAAAAUUGGAAAGGAUGAGAAUAAAUGAAACUUGUUUGUAGACAACAUGAUCUUAUGUUUAUGAAAACCUAAAGACUGAAGCAAAAAACUCUUAGAACUGAUAAAAGAAUUCAGUAAAGUUGCAGGACGCAAAAUCAACAUACAAGAAAAAUCAGUAGGAUUUUUAUAUGCUAACAGUGAUCAGCCUAAGAAAGAAAUCAAGAAAGCAAUAUUGUUUAUAAUAGCUACAAAAAACACCCAGGAAUAAAUUUAACAAAAGAAGUGAAAGAUCUCUACAAGGAGGAUUAUAAAACACUAACAAAAUAAAUUGACGAGAACCUCCCCCAAAUGGAAAGAUAUCUCAUGCUUAUGAAUUGAAAGAAUUAAUAUUGUUAAAAUGUCUAUAUUAGGUAAAGAAGCUUCAAUGCAAUACCCAUCAAUACCAGUGUCAUUCUUGACAGAAAUGGAAAAAAAAUCCUAAAAUUCAUAUAUAAGCAGGAAAGACCCCAAAUAGCUAAAAACACCCAAAGCAAAAAGAGCAAAGCUGGAGGCAUCACACUACCCGAUUUGAAAUUAUACUACAAAGCUAUAGUAACCAAAACAACAUGAUACUAGCAUAAGAACAGACACACAGAGAAAUGGAAUGGAGCCCAGAACCCAGAAAUAAAUCCAUACACUUACAGCCACCUCAUUUUUGACAAGGCACCAAGAACUAGAAAGUCUCUCUCUCUCUCUUUUUUUUUUUUUUUUUUUUUUUUUUGAGACAGAGUUUCACUCUUGUCACCCAGGCUGGAGUGCAAUGACACGAUCUCUGCUAACUGCAACCUCUGCCUCCCAGGUUCAAGUGAUUCUCCUGCCUCAGCCUCCUGAGUAGCUGGGAUUACUGUCACCAUGCCUAACAAAUUUUUGUAUUUUUAGUAGAGACGAGAUUUCACCAUGUUGUCCAGGAUGGUCUCGAACUCCUGACCUCAGGUGAUCUGCCCGCCUUGGCUUUCCAAAGUGCUGAGAUUACAGGCAUGAGCCACCACGCCCAGCCAGGAAGUCUCUUUAAUAAAUACUGCUUGGAAAACUGUGUAUCCCUAUGCAGAAGAAUAAAAUUAUAUCUCCAUCUUUCAACAUAUAUAAAAAUCAACUCAAAAUGGAUUAGAGACUUAAAUAUAAGACUGGAAACUAUAAAACUAGUCAAUAAAAACAUUGAAGAAAUGCUACAGAACAUUGAUCUGGCCAAAGGUUUUUUUGGUAAGACUUCAAAAGCACAGGCACCCAAAGCAAAAAUUUAAAAAUGGUAUUACCUCAAGCUAAAAAGCUUCUGCUCACAAAGGAAACAAUCAACAAAGUGAAGAGAGAAGCCACAGAAUGGGAAAAAACAUUUGCAAAGUAUUCAUCUAAUGAGGUAUUAAUACCCAGAGAAUAAAUAAGGAAUUCAAACAACCCAAUAGCAAAAUAUUAAUAAUAAUAUGAUCAAAAAGUGGGGAAAAGAUCAGAAUUGACUUUUCUCAAAAGAAGACAUACAAAUGGCCAACAAAUACAGAAAAAAAAGACUCAACAUCACUAAUCAUCAGGGAAAUGCAAAUAAAAACCACAGUGGGAUAUCAUUGUACUUCAGUUAGAAUGGCAUUAUAAAAAGAUUAAAAAAUAACAAAUGGUGACAAGGAUGAGGAGGAAAGGGAACACUCUUACAACUACUGGUGGCAAUUUAAAGUAGUACAGCCAUUAUGGAAAACAGUAUGGAAGUUCCUCAAAAAACUAAAAAUUGGGCUACCUUAUGACCCAGCAAUCACACCACAUAUGUCCAAAAGAGAGGAAAUUGGUAUAUUGAAGAGAUAUCUGCACUCACAUACAUAUCACAGCGCUAUUCACAAUAGUGGAUACAUAGAAUCAACUAAGUGUCCACUAACAAAUGAAUAGAUAAAUGUGGUAUAUAUAUAUAUAUAUACACAGCUGAAUUUAUAUAUAUAUAUAUAUACACACACAGAACUGUAUGUAUAUAUAGAACUGUAUAUAUGUAAUUUGUAGCAACAUGAACACAACUGGAGGUCAUAAUAGUAAGUAAAAUCAACCAGUUACAGAAAGACAAACACUGAAUAUUCUUUCUCAUAUGUGGAAGCUAAAAAGUGGAUUUUUUUUUUUUUUUGAGACGAAGUUUUGCUUUUGUCAUCCAGGCUGGAGUGCAAUGGCACAAUCUCGGCUCACUGCAACCUCCGCCUCCCAGGUUCAAGUGAUUCUCCUGCCUCAGCCUCCCAAGUAGCUGGGAUUACAGGCACGCACCACCAUGCCAGGCUCAUUUUUGUAUUUUUAGUAGAGAUGAGGUUUCACCAUGUUGGCCAGGCUGGCCUCGAACUCCUAACCUCAGGUGAUCCACUUGCCUCCACCUCCCAAAGUGCUGGGAUUACAGGCAUGAGCCCCAAUGCCUGGCCUAAAAAGCAGAUCUUAUGAAGGUAGAGAAUAGAAUAGGGGUGAUAUGGUUUGAAUUUGUGUCCCCGCCCAAAUCUCAUGUCGAAUUGCAAUCCCCAAUAUUGGAGGAGGGGCCUGGUGGGAGGUGAUUGGAUCAUGGGGCUGGAUUUCCCCCUUGCUGUUCUUGUGAUACUGAGUUCUCAGGAUAUCUGGUUGUUUUCAAAGUGUGUAGCACUUCCCUCUUUACUCUCUCUUCCUCCUGCUCCAGCCAUGUAGGAUGUGCCUGCUUCCCCUCUGCCAUGAUUUUAAGUUUCCUGAGGCUCCCCCAGUCAUCUUUCCUGUACAGCCUAUGGAACCAUGAGCCAGUUAAACCUCUUUUCUUUAUAAAAUGCCAAGUCUCAGCUUUAAUGCUAUCAAUGAGAACAAGAAUAUUUGGCUUAUCUUCAACAUCUUCAUACCAUCAGAUAACUCCAAAGUUAACACAGGAUACGUCAUCCACAUUGCUGCCAGAGCAUUCUCUCUGAAAUGAUUAUCUGAUCAUCAUCCUCUCUUCUUCUCCACAAGCUCAAACACUUUCAGUGACUGAUUUGAAACCAGGUAACUUCCCAAAGAUUACAGAACAAGCAUUGGAGACAGGUCUCAUUCCUGGGUUGGCUGGCUCUGAAGCUGUACAUUAAACAUAUUUUCCUGCAUUGUCUCCCGUGGAUAUUAGAUUAAUAUUUGACAAAGCAUGUUCAAUUAGACUCAAAACAAUUCAACAAAAUUUGAGAACCUACCAUGAUCCAGUUCCAAGACGCCUGACACUGUAGAGCUCACAUUCUGUUGUACCGUAUUAUUAGGAAAGGCGCCUUGAUGAAAAGAUCAGGAUAGGAGCUCUGACCAUUCGACAGUGUUUUCCCUAAAGUAAUAAAAAUAAAAUACAAUAAAAAACCCAAAGAGCAUCUUUCCUCGUUUUUGUUUGUUUGUUUGUUUGUUUACAUCUCUUGUGCUGCAUCAGUAGACAGAACUUUGGUCAGUUUCAUGAAAUGCAAUAUCUAACCCCUUGUUUUCUGGGAAAGGAAAAAGGAACUGCAAUGACACGAAGUUGAGAAUGUGGAUACCGCCUCAUUCACCC
rnacentral:lncRNA from 1 species